rnacentral:rRNA from 1 species
UGGGGAAUAUUGCACAAUGGGCGCAAGCCUGAUGCAGCCAUGCCGCGUGUGUGAAGAAGGCCUUCGGGUUGUAAAGCACUUUCAGCGAGGAGGAAGGUGGUGAACUUAAUACGUUCAUCAAUUGACGUUACUCGCAGAAGAAGCACCGGCUAACUCCGUGCCAGCAGCCGCGGUAAUACGGAGGGUGCAAGCGUUAAUCGGAAUUACUGGGCGUAAAGCGCACGCAGGCGGUUUGUUAAGUCAGAUGUGAAAUCCCCGGGCUCAACCUGGGAACUGCAUUUGAAACUGGCAAGCUAGAGUCUCGUAGAGGGGGGUAGAAUUCCAGGUGUAGCGGUGAAAUGCGUAGAGAUCUGGAGGAAUACCGGUGGCGAAGGCGGCCCCCCUGGACGAAGACUGACGCUCAGGUGCGAAAGGCGUGGGGCAGCAAACAGGAUUAGAUACCCUGGUAGUCCACGCUGUAAACGAUGUCGAUUUGGAGGUUGUGCCCUUGAGGCGUGGCUUCCGGAGCUAACGCGUUAAAGUCGACCGCCUGGGGAGUAUGGCCGCAAGGUUAAAAC